rnacentral:rRNA from 1 species
AAUGGACGAAAGUCUGACGGAGCGACGCCGCGUGGAUGAAGAAGGCCGAAAGGUUGUAAAAUCCUUUUGUCGAUGAAGAAUAAGCAUGGGAGGGAAUGCCCGUGUGAUGACGUUAGUCGGCGAAUAAGCCCCGGCUAAUUACGUGCCAGCAGCCGCGGUAACACGUAAGGGGCGAGCGUUGUUCGGAAUUAUUGGGCGUAAAGGGCGCGUAGGCGGCCCUGUAAGCUCGGCGUGAAAACCUGGAGCUCAACUCCGGGCCUGCGCUGGGAACUGCGGGACUAGAGUCAUGGAAGGGAAGUUGGAAUUCCAGGUGUAGGGGUGAAAUCUGUAGAUAUUAGGAGGAACACCGGUGGCGAAGGCGGCUGCCUGGACCGAUAUUGACGCUGAGACGCGAAAGCGUGGGGAGCAAA